AUGCCAAAUGACAUUAUUCCUGAAUUUCGGCUCGAGACAGUUUACCCUAUCCAAGCGACAGAAACAACCAUUUUGAAGAAAAGAUGCGUGGCCACUGACAAAAAUAUGUGUCACAACGAUGACAGAAACGACCAUUUUGAAGAAAGGAAAAAUAUGUGUCUCAGAAAAUUGGCAACCGAUCAAAUAGGUUGGGCUCGCAAAAUACGUGUCACGGCGGCGAUAGAGAUAACCAUUUUAAAGAAAGAAAAUACAUGUCUCAAACAAAUGGCUACUAAUCAAGUAGGUUGGGAUCACGACAAUACGUGUCAUGGCGAUGACAAAAACGACCAUUUUGUAAAAAGGAAAAAUAUUUGCCUAAACAAGCGGCGACAGAUCAAGUAG
rnacentral:rRNA from 1 species